rnacentral:rRNA from 1 species
UGGGGAAUAUUGCACAAUGGGCGAAAGCCUGAUGCAGCAACGCCGCGUGAGUGAUGAAGGUCUUCGGAUUGUAAAGCUCUGUCUUUUGGGACGAUAAUGACGGUACCAAAGGAGGAAGCCACGGCUAACUACGUGCCAGCAGCCGCGGUAAUACGUAGGUGGCGAGCGUUGUCCGGAUUUACUGGGCGUAAAGGGUGCGUAGGCGGAUGUUUAAGUGAGAUGUGAAAUACCCGGGCUUAACUUGGGUGCUGCAUUUCAAACUGGAUAUCUAGAGUGCAGGGAGGAGAAUGAAUUGACUUCNAGUGUAGCG